GGCCUGAUAUGAUAGUGGUAGACGGACGGGUUGUGGUCCCGUUUGCGGUGGUUCAAUUCCGCCUCAGGCCACCA
rnacentral:tRNA from 1 species